rnacentral:rRNA from 1 species
CCUACGGGAGGCAGCAGUGGGGAAUUUUGGACAAUGGGCGCAAGCCUGAUCCAGCCAUGCCGCGUGUGGGAAGAAGGCCUUCGGGUUGUAAACCACUUUUGUCAGGGAAGAAACGGUCUGAACUAAUACUUUGGACUAAUGACGGUACCUGAAGAAUAAGCACCGGCUAACUACGUGCCAGCAGCCGCGGUAAUACGUAGGGUGCAAGCGUUAAUCGGAAUUACUGGGCGUAAAGCGUGCGCAGGCGGCUUUGCAAGACAGAUGUGAAAUCCCCGGGCUCAACCUGGGAACUGCAUUUGUGACUGCAUGGCUAGAGUACGGUAGAGGGGGAUGGAAUUCCGCGUGUAGCAGUGAAAUGCGUAGAUAUGCGGAGGAACACCGAUGGCGAAGGCAAUCCCCUGGACCUGUACUGACGCUCAUGCACGAAAGCGUGGGGAGCAAACAGGAUUAGAUACCCUGGUAGUCCACGCCCUAAACGAUGUCAACUGGUUGUUGGGAGGGUUUCUUCUCAGUAACGAAGCUAACGCGUGAAGUUGACCGCCUGGGGAGGACGGCGGCGAGUUAGAACGUACAAUUAGAGUUGNGGCGNGAGACGNGCGACGGACGACGACGAGGGAGGAGG